GAUGAAGAACGUAGCGAAAUGCGAUAAGUAGUGUGAAUUGCAGAAUUCAGUGAAUCAUCGAAUCUUUGAACGCACAUUGCGCCCCUUGGUAUUCCAUGGGGCAUGCCUGUUCGAGCGUCAUUUGUACCUUCAAGCUUUGCUUGGUGUUGGGUGUUUGUCUCGCCUUUGCGUGUAGACUCGCCUUAAAAUAAUUGGCAGCCGGCGUAUUGAUUUCGGAGCGCAGUACAUCUCGCGCUUUGCACUCAUAACGACAGCGUCCAAAAGUACAUUUUACACUCUUGACCUCGGAUCAGGUAGGGAUACCCGCUGAACUUAAGCAUAUAAUAGCGGAGGA
rnacentral:misc_RNA from 1 species